CCUGUUUCCUACGUUUGCUGGCUGAGGCUGAAAGAUUCUCCCACUUUGUGCCCACUCCCCUUUGCCUUAUUUUUUCGCGCAGCUCUUCUCAUCUUACCAGUGCAGCUGUGAUUGCAGGGGCCCAGUCACACUAUUAAAGGGCCACAGUGCACAACCGCACCCCUGAAAACACCUUACGGAUGCGGGCCACAAUGCAGCCACACAAGCGGUAGUACUUUUACAGCACCACCCAUAAUUGGU